rnacentral:rRNA from 1 species
GACAGAGGCCUCAAGCGUUAGGCGGAAUCACUGGGCUUAAAGCGUGUGUAGGCGGAUCGUUAAGUGUCUUGUGAAAUCCCACGGCUCACCCGUGGAACUGCUGGGCAUACUGGCGAUCUUGGGCCAACUAGGGGCAACUGGAACAAGCGGUGGAGCGGUGAAAUGCGUAGAUAUCGCUUGGAACGCCGAAGGUGAAAACAGGUUGCUGGGGUUGUGCCGACGCUGAGACACGAAAGCCAGGGGAGCGAACGGG